rnacentral:rRNA from 1 species
CCUACGGGAGGCAGCAGUGGGGAAUAUUGCACAAUGGGGGGAACCCUGAUGCAGCAACGCCGCGUGGGUGAAGAAGUACUUCGGUAUGUAAAGCCCUGUCAGCAGGGAAGAAAAUGACGGUACCUGAAGAAGAAGCCCCGGCUAACUACGUGCCAGCAGCCGCGGUAAUACGUAGGGGGCAAGCGUUAUCCGGAUUUACUGGGUGUAAAGGGGGCGCAGACGGCGAUGCAAGCCAGGAGUGAAAGCCCGGGGCCCAACCCCGGGACUGCUCUUGGAACUGCGUGGCUAGAGUGCAGGAGGGGCAGGCGGAAUUCCUGGUGUAGCGGUGAAAUGCGUAGAUAUCAGGAGGAACACCGGUGGCGAAGGCGGCCUGCUGGACUGCAACUGACGUUGAGGCCCGAAAGCGUGGGGAGCAAACAGGAUUAGAUACCCUGGUAGUC